rnacentral:rRNA from 1 species
UACAGAGGUCUCAAGCGUUCAUCGGAAUUACUGGGCUUAAAGGGUCCGCAGGCGGUCUGACAAGUACCUUGUGAAAUAUCAGGUCUCAACCCUGAAACUGCUCGGUAGACUGUCAGACUUGAGUGCAAAAGGGGUCGCUGGAACUCUAGGUGGAGCGGUGAAAUGCGUAGAUAUCUAGAGGAACGCCAAAGGUGAAGACAGGCGACUGGUUUGCAACUGACGCUCAUGGACGAAAGCGUGGGGAUCAAACGGG